CGCUGGUGGUGGAGUGUCUGCAGCCCCCUCCUGUGCAGGCAGGAGACCCCACUUGGCUGACUGAUGUUUGACUGUUGGAGAUUUAUCUUGCGCAAGAAAACUGGAAGCAAGGACUGUUCUUCCCCAAGAGUAUCCAAUGAGGCCCAAACGGAAGAAAGUGAUCAUCAGAUUGAUGUAUCGGACGUCAUCCGGCUUGUUCAAGUGUUUACUGUUUUCGACUGAAUUCACACGGAGCAGGACUAUAAACAGCAGUCUGCGUCAGAGCUGGG